rnacentral:rRNA from 1 species
GACGAACGCUGGCGGCGUGCUUAACACAUGCAAGUCGAGCGGUAAGGCCCUUUCGGGGGUACACGAGCGGCGAACGGGUGAGUAACACGUGGGUGACCUGCCCUCAGCUCUGGGAUAAGCCUGGGAAACCGGGUCUAAUACCGGAUAUGACCUCAUGACGCAUGUUGUGGGGUGGAAAGCCUUGUGCGGCUGAGGAUGGGCCCGCGGCCUAUCAGCUUGUUGGUGGGGUGAUGGCCUACCAAGGCGACGACGGGUAGCCGGCCUGAGAGGGCGACCGGCCACACUGGGACUGAGACACGACCCAGACUCCUACGGGAGGCAGCAGUGGGGAAUCUUGCGCAAUGGGCGAAAGCCUGACGCAGCGACGCCGCGUGAGGGAUGACGGCCUGGUGU